AAAACAUUAAGUAAACUAUGCUCAUCUCACAAAUUGGUUGCAGCACUGUGGGGGCUGCAGGGUGGCUUUGCCAGUAGGAAGGGCGGAAAUUCCUGAAGAUGUAUUCAUCCAUGCUGCAUCAGCUGCUUGGUGUUUUCAUGGCAUCUCUGCACAUGUGCUGGGUUGAUCUUAAGCAGAAAACCAGAAGCGGCAGUGGUCUCCAGUAGAGACCUAAGGACCCCAAGCUCUCUGUGACACAAACAGGAAGGCUACUGUGGUGCAUUGAAAACCUGCGCCAGUAGUGCAUACCAGUGCACUAUGCUGCUGUUUCAUCAAGGAGAAAGGAGGUGACCACCCCCAGAGGAACUUCAUGCUCUACAGUAUGCCUACGGAGAACACCUCAAGGCGCAUCCAAGCAACGUCCUGGAGGCACAGCGCCACCAGAAUCUCGUUCGCCAUUUGGGGGACCUGCUUAAAGUCCUUAAGAAAUGAUUCCAGUGUGAGGCUUUCAAAACGGCAUGAAUAUUAAUUUAUUCAUUAUAAAGUUUUCAUUUUUAAAGUCCUGUUGUUGCAC
rnacentral:lncRNA from 1 species